ACACGUAGGGGGCGAGCGUUGUCCGGAAUUAUUGGGCGUAAAGAGCACGUAGGCGGCCUGCCAAGUCAGAUGUGAAAACCUGAGGCUCAACCUCAGGCCUGCAUUUGAAACUGGCAGGCUAGAGUUCAGGAGAGGGAAGCGGAAUUCCUAGAGUAGCGGUGAAAUGCGCAGAUACUAGGAGGAACACCGGUGGCGAAGGCGACUUCCUGGAAUGAAACUGACGCUGAGGUGCGAAAGCUAGGGGAGCGAACAGGAUUAGAAACCCCAGUAGUCC
rnacentral:rRNA from 1 species